CCCUUAAUGUACUGUUCAUCCUUUUAGCAGAAUUAGACAUUUCUCUGCAUAAUUUAAAUCGCAAUACAUACAUCCAAAUAAACAUCAAACCCUAGAUUAUCACUGACAUUAAACUAUGUUCUUAAUGGAGCAUCACAAGACUCCUCCUUUAAAUAAAACAACAAAAUAAAACCCAUAAUAUAUGCUGAAAAAUCGCUGAUUAUAACAAUAUCUCGAAAUAUAACCCGAAGAUCUUAAAUUUCUCAUAACAGAGAAUCAGGAAGCACAUAUAUUUGUAUUGAUAGAAACAAUCGAAAAGGAAAAAAAGUAUACACCUUCUUACUUGAAACCCUUUGCAGUUGAUUAUAUGUGUGACUUGCUCAAAAGCACCUUUCUUGAAAUCUAAAAUUGAGAUAGAUUAAUUAUUAUGAGGAGCUUUGAUAACCAAAAUUGAAUAUUUUGAAGAGAUAGAAGAACCAGAGAGUUUAGGAGGAAGAAUAGGAUCCCAAGAGAAAUGAGAUUCCAGAAAGUACGGCUAACAAGA
rnacentral:lncRNA from 1 species